rnacentral:rRNA from 1 species
CCUACGGGUGGUAGCAGUGGGGGAUAUUGCACAAUGGGGGAAACCCUGAUGCAGCGACGCCGCGUGGGUGAAGAAUCGCCUCGGCGCGUAAAGCCCUGUUAGCAGGGAAGAAAAUGACGGUACCUGAAGAAGAAGCCCCGGCUAACUACGUGCCGGCAGCCGCGGGAAAACGUGGGGGGCAGGCGUUAUCCGGAUUUACUGGGUGUAAAGGGGGCGCAGAGGGCGGUGCAAGCGAGGAGUUGAAGCCCGGGGCCCAAUCCCGAGAAUGCUCUUGGAACUGCGUGGCUAGAGUGCAGGUGGGGCAGGCGGAAUUCCUGGUGUAGCGGUGGAAUGCGU